UACGGGGGGAGCAAGCGUUGUUCGGAUUUACUGGGCGUAAAGGGUGCGUAGGCGGGUCUUUAAGUCAGGGGUGAAAUCCUGGAGCUCAACUCCAGAACUGCCUUUGAUACUGGGUGUCUUGAGUAUGGAAGAGGUGAGUGGAAUUCCGAGUGUAGAGGUGAAAUUCGUAGAUAUUCGGAGGAACACCAAUAGCGAAGGCAGCUCGCUGGGACGGUACUGACGCUAAGGCGCGAAAGCGUGGGGAGCGAACAGG
rnacentral:rRNA from 1 species